CCUAGCCUCUUCAGCCAAUACCAAUGCGUUUCCCGCCGAUCUCUUCAUAUCUACUCUCUGCGUUUAUUUUGUGUUAUUACGUACAAUACAGAACUUCCAACUCUGUGUCUUUUAUACUGUUUUGCACGGUGCGCUUAGUGAAGAUCGAACUUGAGAGCUUUUUCCAAAUGUUCAAUCUACAUUGUCAACUGAGUCAUAGCCCGAGGUAUUGGAUUCCGGUCUCUGGCCAGGUUUAAUGUGGCGAUGCUUGCGAAAACAGGAUGGAAUUUACUAACUAGGCCUACAGCCCUUGUUAGUAAAAUUUUGUCAAGCACGCUAUUAUGAAAGAUCUGAUUUUUUACUUGCUCAGCUCAGCAAAAACCCCAUUUUUAUCUGGAAAUCUUUGAUGGCUGGUCAAAAGCCGUUAAUGGCUGGUUGUUUACGUCGGAUAGGGGAUGGGACUAAUACUUCAGUCUAUGGAUGCCCGUGGGUGCCGGACCCUCCACAUUUUCGCAUUCAGUCUUUGAAUUUGACAGUUAUGGAGAGUGUUAACUUAGCAGAUUUGUUUAUUCCUAAUACCCGCAGAUGGGAUACUGAAUUACUGAGUUAUUGCAUGAGCUUUUUACUUCCCAUGAGGCUCAGUUGAUUGAGCAUAUACCUCUCUCGCGUGUUGUUACUGAGGAUAGCUGGUAUUGGUAUCAUGACUCCAAGGGAAUUUAUACAGUAAAAAGCGGCUAUCAGUUUUUGGAGAAUCAGAAUUCUUGGUCGUCACAGGUGCCGGUGCUGGUGUGGAAGAAGAUAUGGGCUUUGGGUGUCCUCCAAAGGUCAAAAAUUUUUUAUGGAGAGCUGUUUCGGAUAUCUUGCCAGUUUAUGAGGUUUUAAGAAGGAGAAAUGUUCAAGUGCCUUUGUUAUGUCCACUCUGUAAUCAUAGCACAGAAAGUAUGCUGCAUUGUCUAGUUACGUGUGAAUUCGCAAAGGAAUGCUGGAAUGGAUCAGUGACAGGAUGGUAGUGCGGUUUCAGAUUUUAAGGAGUGGUUUCAGUUGUUAAUGUCCUGUUGUGAUGAUGUGAAGCUGAACGAAGCUGGUAUGUUGGCGUGGGUAAUAUGGUGUGCUCGUAAUUCUUUUAUUUGGCAGGGUAAACAACCGAUGUCUGGGUCUGUGGUUCGACGGGCUCAUACUUUCUUAAGAGCUUGGACGGAAGUUCGGGUAGGGGACUCAAGUCAAGAAGCAGAUAUCCAGCCACCUUCAGUUGCAAAAUGGAGACGUCCAGCUACAGGUUUCAAACUAAAUGUUGAUGCUGGGUAUGAUAGUGCAACAGGUCGGGCAGGUGCAGGAUGGAUUUUGAGGAACGAUAGAGGCGUGUGUAUGGGUGGUAAAAUGCAGAUUCUGGGUUGUCUCUAGUGCAGCUAUGGCAGAGGUCUAGGGCGUAAGAGAGGCGCUGAGUUGGUUGAAGAAUAGGGGUGGACAGCCUCAAGUAAUGGUUGAAGGUGAUUGUUUAACUGUGUUACAAGCUCUGAAUUCGCAGUGAGAGGAUUUCUCUUAUUUUGGCUCUUUAAUCUUAGAUUGUAAAACCCUUAUGCAGGAGUUUUCUUCUUUGUCCUCAGCUUUUGUUAGCUAAGGCUACUAGUUCUAUGUCUGGCCCUAUGGAGUGGGAACUGUCUCCUCCAUCUAUUAUUCAUGAUGUUUUGUUGAUGGAUUUUAAUAAUA